rnacentral:rRNA from 1 species
CUUUUACGGAGAGUUUGAUCCUGGCUCAGGACGAACGCUGGCGGCGUGCUUAACACAUGCAAGUCGAACGGUGAAGCCCAGCUUGCUGGGUGGAUCAGUGGCGAACGGGUG